rnacentral:rRNA from 1 species
GUGCCAGCAGCCGCGGUAAUACAGAGGGUGCGAGCGUUGUUCGGAAUUACUGGGCGUAAAGCGCGCGCAGGCGGCUCUUUAAGUCCACUGGUCAAAUGCCGGGGCUCAACCCCGUGCCCGCCAGGGAUACUGGAGAGCUGGAGACACGUAGAGGCAAGCGGAAUUCCGGGUGUAGCGGUGGAAUGCGUAGAGAUCCGGAAGAACACCGGAGGCGAAGGCGGCUUGCUGGGCGUAGUCUGACGCUGAGGCGCGAAAGCGUGGGGAGCGAACAGGAUUAGAUACCCCUGUAGUCC